rnacentral:rRNA from 1 species
ACGGAGGGUGCAAGCGUUAAUCGGAAUAACUGGGCGUAAAGCGCACGCAGGCGGUUGGACAAGUCAGAUGUGAAAGCCCCGGGCUCAACCUGGGAACUGCAUUUGAAACUGUCUGACUAGAGUCUUGUAGAGGGGGGUAGAAUUCCAGGUGUAGGAGUGAAAUCCGUAGAUAUCUGGAGGAACAUCAGUGGCGAAGGCGGCCCCCUGGACAAAGACUGACGCUCAGGUGCGAAAGCGUGGGUAGCAAACA